rnacentral:rRNA from 1 species
GACGAACGCUGGCGGCGUGCCUAAUACAUGCAAGUUGAGCGCUGAAGGUUGGUACUUGUACCAACUGGAUGAGCAGCGAACGGGUGAGUAACGCGUGGGGAAUCUGCCUUUGAGCGGGGGACAACAUUUGGAAACGAAUGCUAAUACCGCAUAAAAACUUUAAACACAAGUUUUAAGUUUGAAAGAUGCAAUUGCAUCACUCAAAGAUGAUCCCGCGUUGUAUUAGCUAGUUGGUGAGGUAAAGGCUCACCAAGGCGAUGAUACAUAGCCGACCUGAGAGGGUGAUCGGCCACAUUGGGACUGAGACACGGCCCAAACUCCUACGGGAGGCAGCAGUAGGGAAUCUUCGGCAAUGGACGAAAGUCUGACCGAGCAACGCCGCGUGAGUGAAGAAGGUUUUCGGAUCGUAAAACUCUGUUGGUAGAGAAGAACGUUGGUGAGAGUGGUAAGCUCAUCAAGUGACGGUAACUACCCAGAAAGGGACGGCUAACUACGUG